CGGGGUGGAGUAACGCGUGGAUAACCUGCCUCACACUGGGGGAUAACAGUUAGAAAUGACUGCUAAUACCGCAUGAGCGCACAGUACCGCAUGGUACGGUGUGAAAAACUCCGGUGGUGUGAGAUGGAUCCGCGUCUGAUUAGCCAGUUGGCGGGGUAACGGCCCACCAAAGCGACGAUCAGUAGCCGACCUGAGAGGGUGACCGGCCACAUUGGGACUGAGACACGGCCCAA
rnacentral:rRNA from 1 species